rnacentral:rRNA from 1 species
GUGGGGAAUAUUGGACAAUGGGCGCAAGCCUGAUCCAGCCAUGCCGCGUGAGUGAUGAAGGCCCUAGGGUUGUAAAGCUCUUUCAGUGGGGACGAUAAUGACGGUACCCACAGAAGAAGCCCCGGCUAACUUCGUGCCAGCAGCCGCGGUAAUACGAAGGGGGCUAGCGUUGUUCGGAUUUACUGGGCGUAAAGCGCACGUAGGCGGAUCGUUAAGGCGAGGGUGAAAUCCUGGAGCUCAACUCCAGAACUGCCUUCGAUACUGGCGAUCUUGAGUCCGGAAGAGGUGAGUGGAACUCCUAGUGUAGAGGUGGAAUUCGUAGAUAUUAGGAAGAACACCAGUGGCGAAGGCGGCUCACUGGUCCGGUACUGACGCUGAGGUGCGAAAGCGUGGGGAGCAAACAGGAUUAGAAACCCCGGUAGUCC